GAAAAUGCUUAAUAUAAAACAUAUUUAAAGAAUACAGAACGGGAUUUCAAGUAGAGGUUGGCUUUGACUCCGGCACCAAAGUACCAAAUCUGGAGGGAAAUAAGGAGAAAGGCUUGUAAACUCAGCCAGCCAACUUAUUCCAAAAGGUGGACCAAAGGCUGGUACAUAACUGCUUUCUCCAGACCUGUCUGUAUCUGCAGCAGACAACUCCAAGGAACAAAGCGGUCAAACUACAGUGGAGCUGUUGCAUCAGGAGUUGGUGGUAACCUGGCUUCAGUUGUGACUACUCUCUGGGUCCCAUUUUGGUUUCCUUGACCCCAGACCACAGAUUUUAAUUAAUUUGCUCUAGCAUUUCAGCAGCAAAAGCUGAGUUCCUUCCUCUGAUUCUCAGUAGAAUGCCAGCUCAUCUCACUGACAACCAAGAAGUAGGGAAAAAUUCUGGGACUGACAAGUGGACCCAGAGAGACGACAAUUGACACAGCAAAGGAUAAUUGCCAAGCUCCAUGUUCAGGAAGCCUUCGUUUACUAGUUCCAUGUAAUUCCACCUCCAGGUUGGCUAGAUUGUCCUUGGUCUCCAGCAGCGUCUAGUUAAAUUCCUCUCCUAAGCAGCCUCUUGAGACUCAGAGCUGGUGGCUCUAUCCUCUGAAUGUCACUGCUCAGAAAUCCUGACAACCCUCCUGGAGAGGCAAAUCCUGAGCUCUACCUAAUCAAGCUGAGAAGACAGAACCUGAUGAAAAAAGAGACAUUUGACUUGUUUCUUCCUUCCAGUCUCG